GACGAACGCUGGCGGCGUGCUUAACACAUGCAAGUCGAGCGGAAAGGCCAUGAUUUUGUGGGGUGCUCGAGUGGCGAACGGGUGAGUAACACGUGAGUAACCUGCCCUUGACCUUGGGAUAAAUUCAGGAAAAUGGGGCUCAUACCGGAUAGGAGCUCCUGCUGCAUGGUGGGGGUUGGAAAGUUUCGGCUGUUGGGGAUCGACUCGCGGCUUAUCCGCUUGUUGGUGGGGUAGUGGCUUACCAGGUCUUUGACGGAUAGCCGGCAUGGGAGGGGGACCGGCCACAUGGGGACUGAGAGACGGCCCAGUCUCCUACGGGAGGCAGCAGUGGGGAAUAUUGCACAAUGGGCGGAAGCCAGAUGCAGCAACGCCGCGUGCGGGAUGACGGCCUUCGGGUUGUAAACCGCUGUCUCCGGUGACGAAGCGUGAGUGACGGUAAUGAGUAAAGAAGCACCGGCUAACUACGUG
rnacentral:rRNA from 1 species